rnacentral:sRNA from 1 species
GGGUUGUCCUCUGUAACUCUGUACAUCCACUUAAUCAGUACCUUAUAUGACAUAUAAACAGACGGAGAGUUCAUUGGUUUAUGUCGUCGGAUCGAAUGUUCUAUAAUAUAUACAUCACUUCAUUUGCUUCAUGCAUUGUAUUGUUAACCAUAUAUUUAUGGAAGAAAACUCACCACCAAAAUCUGCCUAAAACGUCAAAAGAAAAAUCCGAAAAACAACACUUUUCAAAUGAGUGUUGACUUAAAUGACACAAUAUGAUAAAUGAAUAAUGAUAUAUGCUAUUCUGUGUACCUGGAAUAGUGAUUCUGUAGAGAUAUCCUGGUGCUUCUAAUUUAGAAAACUCUAUGUAGAAAGAAUUUCACUACAAUAUGUGUUAUUAUAUAAAUACUGUAUGAAAUAAAUUCUUAAAAAAUAAUAAAAUUCAGUAAAAGUU